AUGGGCACCAUCCCAUCCGAUAUAGGACGACUACAUCGCCUCACCGAUCUUGAUCUUAGCUCUAACCGCCUCUCGGGCACCAUCCCCAGUACCCUAGGAAACCUCACAAAGCUUCAACGCCUUUCCCUACGCCGAAAUGGUCUCUCCGGACAUAUCCCGGACCAACUCCUCCAGAACAUGAACAGCCUGAGGAGGAUACAUCUCGGGGUGAACCGGUUAAGUGGCCUCAUACCAGACCAACUCUUCAACAACACGCCUUUACUAACUCAUCUUGACUUCCAAAACAACAGUCUAUCUGGGUCAAUACCACAUGGUAUUGCCACAUGUGCCAUGCUUGAAUGGGUCAACUUUGAAUAUAACCAGCUGUCCGGACUAGUACCUCUAACCAUAUUCAACAAGUCUAGGCUUGACACUCUUGUCCUCUCAUCUAACCACUUCACAGGAACAAUCCCUACCAAUGAAAGCUUUAACUUGCCCAUGUUAACAGUCUUCUUCAUUGGUCUCAACAGUUUCACAGGUCAAUUUCCCUCAACCCUUGUAUCCUGCAAGCUACUAGUGCAACUUUCUCUAGCAGGAAACUCCUUUGUGGGCAAUCUCCCAGAAUGGCUCGCUCAACUAUCACGACUCACUUUUCUUACUAUAGGUGGCAACGACGAUGUUAGCGGGUCAAUUCCAGGUGUGCUCAGAAAUCUUACUCUUCUCCGUGUUCUUGACAUCUCAUUCUGCGACCUAAGCGGAAAUAUUCCAGCCGAGCUAGGGGAAAUGAGUCAGCUCACACAUUUAAGUCUUACAUCAAACAAACUAACAGGUCCAUUUCCAGCCAAUUUUGGCAACCUAUCCCAACUAUCUAGUCUGCUAGUUGAUUCGAACCAAUUAACUGGAUCUUUGCCCGAAACUAUUGGGAACCUCAGGUACCUUAACCGUCUCCAUAUUGGAAUGAAUCAGCUCAAUGGGACCCUUGAGUUCUUGGCCACUAUGUCAAACUGUAGACAACUCCAAUUGCUUGCCAUGUUUUAUUGCUCCUUCACUGGAAACAUUCCUGCAUAUAUCGGUAACCUCUCCAGACAAUUGACAUACCUCAAUGCAGCCGGGAAUCGUUUAACCGGGGGUCUUCCAGCCACACUAUCAAAUCUAAGUGGUCUUAGUGUAAUGUCCUUUGCAGACAACCAAUUAAGCGGCAUAAUCCCAGCACACAUUGCAUCAUUGGAGAAUCUUGAGCAGCUAAACCUUUCUAGUAACAAGCUGUUUGGCCCAAUCCCGUUAAAGAUUGGUGCCUUGACAAGAUUGCACAGGCUAUCCCUCCAGGGCAAUAAAUUAUCUGGCGCCCUUCCGGAUGGCAUCGGUAACCUAAGUAACCUAGAAUAUAUGUCGCUUGCAGAUAAUCAUCUCUCGUCAGCGAUACCUGAAAGAUUGUUUCAUCUUAGUAACCUUCGUGUGUUAGAUCUAUCUCACAACUCCUUUACAAGUGCACUGCCCUCUAAUCUUGAUUCCAUGAAGAAAAUAUACAUGCUAGAUAUAUCAGCCAACAGCUUGGUUGGUAGUAUUCCAACUUCAUACGGGAAUCUUGGACUAUUAAGCUUCCUGAACCUAUCACACAACACACUCACAGGUUCCAUCGAUGGCUCGUUCAAGGAGUUAAUCGUCCUAACGCAGUUGGACCUAUCUUGUAACAACCUUUCUGGUACCAUUCCAAAAUAUUUAGCCAACUUUACUUUACUGACUAGCUUGAACCUUUCUUUCAAUGAGUUCCGAGGUGAGAUACCAAGUGGUGGUAUUUUCUUUAACACCAGUGCACAAUUAUCGUUGAUGGGAAAUGCUGGGCUGUGUGAUGCCUCACGUCUAGGAUUUUUUCCUUGCCUAGACACUUCCUACAAAACCAAGAGACACUUGCUAAGGAUUGUUCUACCAGUUAUCUUGGUAACUGUAGGAGCUAUAGCAAUUCUCAUUUACCUAAUGGUCACGAAGAAAAAUAAAAAGCAGCUACAAGUUACGACUUCCAUUGGCAUGGAUAAUAUUAUCAGUCAUAGACAAGUUUCCUAUCUCGAGAUUGCUCGUGCCACUGAAAAUUUCAGCGAGGACAACCUACUUGGAGUUGGAAGCUUUGGAAAAGUUUUCAGGGGCAAAUUACAAGAUGGUUUGGAGGUUGCGAUAAAAGUGCUCAACAUGCAUGUCGAGCAGGCUGUGAGGAGCUUUGAUGCAGAAUGUCAAGUGCUAAGGAUGGCUAGGCACCGCAACUUGAUACAGAUAUUAAGUACUUGCUCCAACUUUGAAUUCAGAGCAGUGCUACUUCAGUACAUGCCCAAAGGUAACUUGGAUGUACAUUUGCACUCUGAAAAUGGAGAAUCGAUAGGGUUUAUCAGGAGAUUGGAUAUUAUGCUUGGUGUAUCGAAAGCCAUGGAGUAUCUGCACCACCAUCACCAUCAAGUUGUGUUGCACUGCGACCUCAAACCUAAAAAUGUGCUAUUCGAUGAUGAGAUGGUGGCGCAUGUUGCGGACUUCGGCAUUGCAAGAUUACUUGUUGGAGACGACAACUCCUUGAUUUCAGCGAGUAUGCCGGGGACUAUUGGAUACAUGGCACCAGAAUAUGCAUUCAUGGGGAAAGCAUCACGAAAGAGCGAUGUGUUUAGCUUUGGAAUAAUGCUGCUCGAAGUCUUCACAGGGAAAAGACCCACAGAUGCCAUGUUUGGGGGAGAAUUGAGCAUCAGGCAAUGGGUUUCGCAAGCGUUUUCAGCAAACCUUACUAGCGUUUUGGACGUUAAGAUAGCUCAAGCUGAGGAAAGAAUUUUCUGCUUAAAUCACCAGAGCAGCAGUUCAUUGGCGUGCACGAGCAGCGACUGGCUUGUGCCAAUAUUCGACCUGGGUCUGAUGUGUUCGAGCGAAUCACCUGACCAGAGGCCAAGCAUGACAGACGUGGUUGUAAGGCUCGAGAACAUCAUGAAGAGUUACUCUGCUACCAUGCCGUCACUGGAACUGGCUCCAUGUUAG
rnacentral:rRNA from 1 species